rnacentral:rRNA from 1 species
GCUCAUUAAAUCAGUUAUCGUUUAUUUGAUAGUACCUUACUACUUGGAUAACCGUGGUAAUUCUAGAGCUAAUACAUGCUAAAAAUCCCGACUUACGGAGGGAUGUAUUUAUUAGAUUAAAAACCAAUGCCCUUCGGGGCUCCUUGGUGAUUCAUAAUAACUUUUCGAAUCGCAUGGCCUUGCGCCGGCGAUGGUUCAUUCAAAUUUCUGCCCUAUCAACUUUCGAUGGCAGGGUAUUGGCCUGCCAUGGUUACAACGGGUAACGGAGGGUUAGGGCUCGACCCCGGAGAAGGAGCCUGAGAAACGGCUACUACAUCCAAGGAAGGCAGCAGGCGCGCAAAUUACCCAAUCCCGACUCGGGGAGGUAGUGACAAUAAAUACUGAUACAGGGCUCUUUUGGGUCUUGUAAUUGGAAUGAGUACAAUUUAAAUCCCUUAACGAGGAACAAUUGGAGGGCAAGUCUGGUGCCAGCAGCCGCGGUAAUUCCAGCUCCAAUAGCGUAUAUUAAAGUUGUUGCAGUUAAAAAGCUCGUAGUUGAACCUUGGGCCUGGCUGGCCGGUCCGCCUCACCGCGUGCACUGGUUCGGCCGGGCCUUUCCCUCUGGGGAACCUCAUGCCCUUCACUGGGUGUGCUGGGGAACCAGGACUUUUACUGUGAAAAAAUUAGAGUGUUCAAAGCAGGCCUAUGCUCGAAUACAUUAGCAUGGAAUAAUAGAAUAGGACGUGUGGUUCUAUUUUGUUGGUUUCUAGGACCGCCGUAAUGAUUAAUAGGGACAGUCGGGGGCAUCAGUAUUCAAUUGUCAGAGGUGAAAUUCUUGGAUUUAUUGAAGACUAACUACUGCGAAAGCAUUUGCCAAGGAUGUUUUCAUUAAUCAGGAACGAAAGUUAGGGGAUCGAAGACGAUCAGAUACCGUCGUAGUCUUAACCAUAAACUAUGCCGACUAGGGAUCGGACGGUGUUAUUUUUUGACCCGUUCGGCACCUUACGAGAAAUCAAAGUCUUU